UCUCGAUAGCGUAAAAGUUAACUAAAAUUUGUAUGGAGUUGGAUCGUUUGCUUAUGUUUGCCACUACCGCUGUUCCAACUCCAUACAAAUUUGAGUUAACUCUUACACGAUUGA
rnacentral:pre_miRNA from 9 species